UACGUAGGUGGCAAGCGUUGUCCGGAUUUACUGGGCGUAAAGAGCGCGCAGGCGGUUGGUAAGUCGAAUGUGAAAGCCCCCGGCUCAACUGGGGAGGGUCAUUCGAUACUGUCCGACUCGAAGGCAGGAGAGGGAAGCGGAAUUCCCGGUGUAGUGGUGAAAUGCGUAGAGAUCCGGAGGAACACCGAAGGCGAAGGCAGUGUCCUGGCUGGUGACUGACGCUGAGGUGCGAAAGCUAGGGGAGCGAACGGG
rnacentral:rRNA from 1 species